rnacentral:lncRNA from 1 species
GCUGAUGAACCAUGAGUGUAGGUGGAAUUGUGUUCCUGCGAUGAUAAAUAAGGAGAGGACACGAGCUGUAAUUUGUGUUUGUGGGUAUCUGCGUUGGUAUAUUUGUAGGGAGGGCUGGUGGUGUGAGCUGUUGGGCAGUAGGGUGAGAGGAUUUUGGGAGCCUUGGAAUUGUAGAAGAUGAGGGUGAUAGAAAUUUACCUGGGAAAGGAGAAGCUGCAUCCACCGUUGGUUCACUGUCGGAGUUGGAUUGUGAGCGUGAGUUGGCCUGUAACUUUGCUGGAGAAGGAGAAGAUACUGAGCGAGGCUCUACAGGUGUUUGGGCAUCUAUUUCUAAUGGAAUUGGAAGCUCCGUAGUUAUGGUUAGUUUGGGUGUGGGAUCAGAAGAAUAUGAAAUCGUGAUAUUAUCCCAUUUUAGGUGAGGUGAUUUGAUGGCAAUAUUGGAGAACAUGGUUUUGAAAGUAAAAACAUUCUCAAUAAAUUGCACAUCGCGAGAUAAAUAUACCUUUGCGGAAAUUGGGUCAAAACACUGGUGACAGUGAUAAGAUAAGGAAAAUUUGAGAUAGACACCGGGUGGAUUUUGGUUCAAGUUUAUUUUGGAGUAUGGUUUAAGCCAUGGAUAGCAUAAACAGUCGAAAAUUCGCAGGGAGCUAUAAUUAGGCAAUUUUCCAAGUAGACGCUGGAAUGGGGAUUGGUUUUCUAGUUGAGAGGUGGGCAAACGGUUAAUAAGGUAGACCGUGUGAUGACACGCGAAAGACCAAAAUUGGGGAGGAAGGGAAGCCUCAUGUAAGAGCGUUCUUGCAGUUUCGACAAUAUGGCGAUGUCGUCGUUCUGCGAGCGAGCUCGUUGAGGCGUAUAUGGUGGAGUAGAGAGGUGCUCAAUUCCGUGAAGUGAGAGAUAAGGGUCAAGACUUUUAUAUUCUCCUCCACCAUCAGUGUACAGUGAUAAAAUUUUGGUGUCAAAAUGCUUUUCCAUCAUAAGAUGGAAUUUUUGGAAAAUCUCUUUGACCUCACUUUUAUUUUUUAAUGUAUAGAGCCAAGUAUAUUUCGUAUAUUAAUCAACAAAAAAACAAUAAUGCAAUUUCUUGUCAAGAGAUAAGACUGGUGAUGGCCCCCAUAUACUAAAGAUUAUUUGAAGCGGUUUAGAGCUACACAAUGAUAAUUGAGUAAAAGGAUGCCGAUGAACUUUAUUAGAUAAGCAAGAAUUACAAUAAAAAGGUUUGUCUCGCUCAUGAAACGGUAGCGAGAAUUUAUUUAAAACAAACCUAAGAACUCUAAAGUGGGGAUGACUCAAACGUUGAUACCAAGUAGUGAGAGGAGUAGAUGUGGCGGUCAUGUGAGCUUGGGGAUGUGAAAUAGGCCACUCAUACAGUCCAUUGUUGGUCCGACUGUGCACCAGCGGUUUCCACGUUUUCAUAUCCUUCACAACAAAGUCAAAGGGAAAAAAUUCAAUGGACUUUGAAUUGUCUUGACAAAAUUUUGAAACAGAGAGAAGUUUGCGUAUAAUAGAUGGGGCACAGAGAGUGUGAGGUAGCUUAAAAACAUUAUUUUAUGCAUUUAAUUGAGUAGAACCAGUGCGAGAGAUGGGAAUUUUGUUACCGUAACCCAUGGAGACAUCUUCGUUAUCGUGGUAUGGUUGUAGAUUGUGUGGCUCCGUGGUGAUGUGAUAGGUGGCUCCGGAGUCGACUAUCCAAAGGUUAGUGGCAGCAGUAAAUCCAGCAGCAUAGUUGGCUUUGGCCUCAAAGUGAUUAUGAGACUUCGAACGACAAACAUUGGCGGUAUGGCCAAUCCUAUUGCAUAGUUGACAUCGAGUAACAGUCUUUGGAUUGGAGUUGGACUGCCAUUGUGAUGUAGUGUUCGGAUGUGAAUUCUGGUGCCACUGGUGAGAAUUAUUAUUUUGCCUAGGAUUGUUACGGUUAUUGGUAUUGGAUUUGGUGGGAGUCGAGACCGCGACAGUCAUGGGACUGGAAAUUUUCUUAACAUCCUCGUGACGUAGGAAGAGUUCAUGGUCAAGUAGCUUUUCAAACAAUUCUUCAUAUGAGAUAGCCGUAUCACGUGCACGAAUGGCAGCAGAGAUUUCACGGAAUUCAGGACCUAGCUCGCUGAGUAUUUUGAUAAUGAGUUAAGGAUUUGACACAGGAGAACCAACAGUGGCUAACUCAUUCGAAAGGGAUCGAAUAGUGUGAAGAUAUUUAGUGAUAGAGAGAGAUUCCUUAGUGACGCGAGCAAGUUGAUCACGCAGGCUGAAGAUAUGCGUUUGUUAUCUGUUUGCACAAGUAGUGUGCAGAGCGUCCCAAGCUGAUUUGGAUGAGUUGGCUGCAACAACAAUCGGAGCAAUGGUGGGUUCAACAGAUGCCAUGAGGGCAUUUUGGAUGAGUUGGUCUUGACGGAACCAAGUUAAAAAAGCAGGAUUGGGAGAUACGUUGUUGCCAAUGGUCAGGGUGCGAGUAGGGGCAAGAGUGGUCCCAUCAAGAUGGCCAAAUAGAUUAUAACCAUACAUAAGCAUGGAGAAUUGAGCUUUCUAGGUGGCAAAGUUGUGGCCAUCGCUGAGUUUGAUGGGUAAUUGGGAUGGGACGCAGGGUUGAAUUGAAUAAUAAUGUUAGCACCUGUUGUGUUAUCAGCAUUAACAACUCUGGGAUUGUUGGCCAUUGCUAUUGAUUUGUGUGAGGAAGAAAAAAAAAUAGGAUCGUUCUCGUUAGAGAGUAUAGAGCUUUGAUACCAUGUAAACGCAGAGUAAGUGCUGAUAGAAAAAGAUGUUUUAUUAAUGAAGCAUAAAGCGUAUUAAAUAGAGUUACAGAUAAACUAAGAUGAGUCCUAAACUAACUAAGCUAGACUAGUCCUAAAUAAAUAGAAAUGCUGACUAAUAUUACACGUGAUGUUUCAAUAGUUUCUACACGGAUUGCCCAUAUUUCAUUUUGGUGUGUUUUGAGAUUUGAAGUUUCUACACGGAUUGCCCAUAUUUUCAUGAUGGUUUAUAAUUUUCACACUCAAAUAUGGUCUUUAAGUUUUGCUCUUGCUACUCUUUUAAUGAAAUUUUUUGGAUCAAAGCACCAUAUUUAUGAUCUAAUUUUGUUCGCCAUAACUUCUGUAGGAAUUAAACUGUGCGACAUAAAUUGUGUAGUAUUUUUAUGACUUAGUUUUGCUAGCACAAAUAUCGAGAAAUAUAGAGAACUAUCGCACAAGUUAGGUAGGAGUUGAGUUGUGUCUUCUACGACCUACUUUGUAGGUAUUGGGUUCUGAAAUUGAAGUUUUGCUUCCAUCAGCGUUAAGUUUUGUAGGAACUAAGAUAUGCUUUUCACGGUACGUGGGUUUUGAACUGAGCUUCUGUUGCUAUUGAUACAAGUUUUUUGAGAGUUAAGUGGCAUAACUCGUCUUAUACUAUGAUAAGAAAGUAAAACUUUUUGCCCAACGAAAGUGGUCUUAUACUAUGAUAAGAAAGUAUAAAUUUUUGCCUAGCGAAAGUAGUUUGCAAUUGUAGUUUCGAGUGUCUUUGGCCACUUAUUUUUUCUUUAAAGUAUUGAAGGUUAAAAAUUAAUAAUCCACCAGUAGGGGCGGAUUCAGUGGUUCUUUCCCUGCAUGUUUCAAGUAUUUGAAAGGAAAAGGAAAAGGGUAAAAUUUCUAAAUAUGUUAUUUAUUAAGUUAAAUUUAUCCUCGUCAUAUUUUGAGGUCAAAUUUCCCUCUCUACUUCGGAGAAUUGGACAAAUAUACCUUCGUCAUACUUUGGGGCUAAACUUACCCUCGAUAUCAUACUUUAAGGUCAAACUUAUCCUCGUUAAGAAAAAUUUUCACAUGUACCCUUUUUUUAAUAGAAAAGCUCAAAUCAACAUUAAAUAUUUCAUUUUAAAAAAAUAGAACAUCUAACUUGCCCGAUUCGACUUGAACCACAAAAAAAGACAAACAAAUAUACCCUCUUCAAAUUUGUUGAUCAAAUUUUUUUAAUGAGAGCCACUGAAUAUUUAUCAGUGCAUAGAUCAUAAAAAAUAGAUCUGCAUUAGUGCAAACAUAAACAAAUGUACCCCUCCCUUAGUUCAUAGACCUGGAUCAAUGCAGAAUUCAUGAAAAAUGGCACUUAGUGGUCAAAUGUAACAAAUUAUAUCCAUUGAUAUUUCUCUGGAUGAUUGAGUCAAGAUGUCUCCGUAUGUGUCAAUUGUGACAUCUCUCAAUUUUUAUUAUUUAUAUAUAAUUUGAAUCUACACAAAUUUUUUCAUUAUGUCAUUUGCUCAGAAAAGUUAUCCACUGAUUCUAGAAUCUAUAUGCACAUAGAAUUGCAUAUCAUAUUUUUGAAAUUUAUACAUAGCUAGAACAUCGACAGAGUUUGUAACAGACAUUUUCUCUAGUUUCAUACUUUUGCGUUAUCCCAUUCCAUUUUAAUUUUUGUUCAUUUAUAAAUAACCUACUCGUGCGGCACAUUGAAAGAGAAGUAUAUUUGUUCAUACAAAAAAUUUGACCAAAAAUCUGAGAGAGUUAUAUUUAUUUGUGUAUUUUUUGAGAGUCGGAUUGAGUGGGUUAGAUUAGGGUGUGUUUUAUUUUUAAAAAAUGAGUUAUUUAAUGCCGAUUUAAAUUUUUCUAUUAAAAGAAGGGUACAUAUGAAAAGUUUCUUACAAUGAGAAAAAUUUGACCCCAAAGUAUGACAUCAAGAGUAAAUUUGGCCCCAAAGUAUGACGAAGUGUAUAUUUAGUCAAUUUUUCAAAGUAGAAGGGUAAAUUUAGCUUCAAAGAAUGACAACGAGGAUAAAUUUGAUCACAAAGUAUGAUAAAAGAUAUAUUUAAUCAAUUUUUCAAAGUAGAGGGAUAAAUUUGACCCUUUACCCAAAGAAAAAACUAAGGGGUAGACUUCCUUUUUGAGUGACUUUGUUUUUGUCACUCGUAAAAAAUGUUUUAUAAAAGUAGUCAUUUUUCUCAUGUGUAGAACAAAUAUCUAUUUAUCCUUCUAUACAUUAAAUAUUUUUGAAUAACUCUUCAUGCUCAUUUAUCUUUUAGCUUCUAUUUUUAUUUUUAUUUUUUUCUUUUUAAUUUUUUUUUCUCGACCUUUACUUUUUUUUUUCUUUCCUUUUCCCCUUUCCUCCUAUCCACUUCAUUUUUUAUUUUUUUUCUCUUUUUUUUUUCUUCUUUUUAGUUGUCUCAACUUUUAUUUUUUGUUCUGUCCUUUUUUUUUUCAACCUUUAUUGUUUUCUCCUUUCAACUUUUUCUUAAUGUUCUUUGAUUUUUAUUUUUAAUUUUUUUAAAAAAUAUCAACCUUUAUUUUUAUUUUAUUUUUAUUUUUUCUUCUUUUUUUUUUCUUUUUUUCCAACCUUUAUACCUUUCCUUUCUUUUCUUUUCUUUUUUUUAGUUCCUUUCAAGUAACAAGGUAUGCCCAUGAGCAAGAGUUAGCACUAUCACAUUGUGUCUUGAUUUAUGAGAUGUUUUAUAACUCUUGUUCGUAGAGGCAAGAGUUAGUCUAAGGACUUUCAAAGAACAAGUUACGCCCAUGAGAAAGAGUUGACCCUACUGCAUUGUGUUUUGAUUUAUAAGAUGUUUUAUAACUCUUUUCUUAGAGGCAAGACUUAGCCACAUUGUGUCUUGAUUUAUGAGAUGCUUUGUAUAACUCUUGCUUUAGAGACAAACUUAGCCCAAGAACUUUCAAACAACAAGUUACGCCCCACGAACAAAAGUUCACAUUACCACAUUGUAUCUUGAUUUAUGAGAUGUUCUAUAACUCUUGUUUCUAGAGGCAACACUUUGCCUAAGGACUUUCAAACAACAAGUUAUGUCUCAUGAGAAAGAGUUGACACUACCAAAUUAUGUUUGAUGUUCCAUAGCUCUUGCCUUAGAGGUAAGACUUAGCGCAAGGACUUUCAAAUAACAAGUUACGCCUCAUGGACAAGAGUUCACACUACCACAUUUUUUCGUGAUUUAUAAGAUGUUUUACAAUACUUUCGUUAGAGGCAUGACUUAGCCCAAGGAAUUUCAAACAACAAGCUACGCCCCUGGGCAAGAGUUGACACUAUUGCGGCUUCAUUUAUGAGAUGUUCUAUACCAAGAACUUUCAAACAAUAAAUUGUGUCUCAUAAGAAAGAGUUAACACUACCACCACAUUGUAUUUUGAUUUAUGAAAUGUUCUAUAACUCUUUUCUUAGAGACAAGACUUAGUCCAAGGACUUUCAAAUAACAAGUUACACUCUGUCGGCAAGAGUUACUCUACCACAUUGCAUCUUGAUUUAUGAGAUGUUCUAUAGCUCUUGCAUUAGAGGAAAGACUUAGUUCAAGGACUUUCAAACAAUAAGACACCCCAUGAGCAAAAUGUCAUGACUCAAUUUACGAGUUAUGAUGGCACUAACUAUACCUCACCAGUAUGUAAGCCAAACUGUAACCCAGAGUUAAGCCAAACUGUAACCCAGAGUUAUACAGAAUGGGUUAACUUGGUGAAAAUGCCCAUCAUAAGUGGAAAUUUACAAUGCAAUCAUAAAGUAAUAAGGCAUUCCAAAUAGAUGUAAGACAGCCAAUACAAGAUAUCAUCCCAAAACUUGGUUGAGCCAGUACAAGAGUAUCUAAGUGAUAAUAAUAAUACAACUCAAAAUAUCCAAAAGGUCUGCUACAUCUAUCUCAAUACAAAAGACUUAAUGAAAAGAUAGAGAAAAAUAGGUGACUCCGAUUUCAAGAGCACACCCUAUCUCUCGAAAGUCAAAACAGCUCGAACAACGGUCAACGACGAUAUCUAGUACUCGAAUCAGCACCAAAAGGUACAAAAGUGUAGUAUGAGCAUUUGGUGCUCAGUAGGCAUCAUCGGCUGACUAAGCUAAAUCAUGAUAGAAAGAUGACACGAUGCAGGAUAACAUAACUAAGUCAAGGUACAGAAUCAAACUUGAAUUAACUCCAUCAUCACUAUGCAUAAAGAGUACAUAAAUCGUAAUAAUAACGAUAACAUGUUGUAAAGAUUCAAGCACAUGCAAUCAUAAGUACAAAAUUGGCUCCCAUACGCCAAUUGGUGCAGAAAAAUAAAGAACUCGUAACAGCCUCCCAUACAACUGGAGAGUACAAUCAAGAUAGUAAUAUCCAAACAUUCAUCAUUUACAACUACUCAUAAUCAUUAUUUAACCAUCUUUUCCACAAUUUACCAUCAUUUGACACUAUAUCAUCACUUAACAACUUAUCCCAUUUCAACACUUACCAACAAUUCCCCAAAGUUUCACCAUUUAACAAUUAGUCAUCUAUUAUCAUCAACAUGAUCUAUUUACUAGUCAUCACUAAUCAAUUAAGCACUCUUUUCAAUUAGUCAACAUUUCAUACUAUGCAUCUUUUAUUAACUAAUCAUCAUAAUCCAAUUAAUUUCAUAUCAUAGAAUACAUAUUUAUAUAUCUGGACUUGAAUCGGUAAUUUAGUCAAUCGUCGGACUCAAAUCAAUAAUUGCAUCAUAAAUGUCAUAAUCAUUUUUCGAACUCGAAUGUGGUUUAUGUAAUCAAUAUCAUCAUCAUCCUCCGAACUCAAACCAAAUAUAUAUAACCAAUAUCAUCAUCAUCUUUUGAACUUGAACCGAGUAUAUAUAAUCAAUAUCUUAAUCAUCUUUCAAACUCAAACUAGGAAUAUCUAGUCAAUAAUAUAUUCAUCUUUCGAACUCAAAUAAAAAAUAUAUAAUCAAUCUCAUAAUCAUCUUUCGGACUCGAACCGAAUAUAUAGAUAUAUAUAUAAUCAAUAACAUAGUGGUCUUUCAGACUUGAAUCGAGAAUAUAUAAUCAUCAUUAGCAUGUACACACAAGCAAGCCAUAAUAUGAUCUAAAGCAUGGUAAUUAACAUGGGCAAAAGGAAAUGGUCUAUACCCCGACCUAUUAUAGCCAACAAGUGCCACCAUUCAUCAAUACUACUUUAAAAGGCAUCCUUAAGCGCUUAAUGAGCCUAUGAAGGUUUUCCAAUAGCUAAGCCAAUCUUUACUUAUGGUGAGUUAAUCAACCCACUUUUAAUCCCCAAUUCUUGUUUUAAGGCAAUUUCUACCCCAAGACUAGGCUAAGGUAUCUAAAUCCACUUUUAGAUGUAUAACAAGCCACAACUAGCCCUAAAGUAGAGGUUAUUCCCAAUUAUAUCACUAAGUUAAAUUGGAAACUAAGGCAACCUCUUCUAAUGUGAGAACUAAGGCCAAGUCUCUUCAAACAAGAGCAACUAUGUCAAAUAUGCCUACUUUGAGGCAUUGUCAUGCUAAACAUAAGGAAUGAAGGCUAAUUCAACAAAAAACUAAGUGUUUCAAGCUUACGGUAUCAAAAUAGCCAAGAAGGCUCAACUAACCCCAAAUAUUGCAUUUCAACAACCAACACCUAAAAACCAUCCUAAAUCCAACACAAUAUUAUAAAUAUACUAUGAAACAACUCAAUCUAUCAAGGGUUAAACCUAGCCUACCUCGACGUCGAAGAAAGCUCAACGAUUUCACUAAACCUUCACUUUUCCCUUCCGAGAAGCCUCUUCAAGAUGCCAAGCUAUCAAAAUCACAUUCUACUCAUCAAUAUAAGAAUGACAAUAAACAUAUUUCACCAUUGUGCUUCGGGACCAAAAAUCACAUCAAAACCCCAUGUUGGUCCCACUUACAGAAAUCACAUUUUUGAGACCAAUCCAACAUUCAUAUAUACACCCAAGCUAAAAUGGGGCUAAAAUCAAGUUCUAAAUCCUUUGGGAUUUUGGUUAAUAAAUCAUCAAAAAUCCACCAAGAAAGUAUGAAAUCUUACCUCAAAUCAGAAGAUAAUCGCGAAAAUAGAUGUUACUCAAGCUCCCAAGUCACUCCCAAGACUCAAUUUUAAGAUACCACACCCUUUAGGGUUUUUGAUCUUCAGAAAUGAGUGAAAAAUGAGCAAAUUUGCAACAUUGGGGUUUAUUUAUACCCCCUUCUAGGUUCUCAAAUAUUGCAAUCGCAAUAUGCAGGUGUGAAAUCACACUAUAUGGCAUUAGGAACAGGUGUUGUGAUCACAACAACCCUUAGUGCGAUCGCACUAUCAAAUCUACACACUGAGAUGUGAUAUCCAUCCAAGGUGGUGCGAUCGCGGCAGCAUCAGCUUGCUGAUGCACCAGAUUUUGCAAGUCCAAAAAUAGUCCAGACCGAGGGCUUAAGAUUCAUUUAGAAUUUUGCAUACGCAAAUGAACUAUGUAACCACACCAAAUUCAAUGUUUCGAAUGCGAUAGAGAAGUUGGAUUUUUCAUUUGAGGUCAUUUCGACCAAAAUAUGGGUCCCACACUGAUAUUUUCUAUUUCUCUAACUUUCAACCAAUAGGUCAAAAUGAGCUCGGGUGCCUCGAGCCCCAAACCAAAGGUCCACCUAGCCUAAAAUCGAUAUUCCAAAGCUAUUAGCAGAGUUGAAAUUUGCAUAUGAGAUCAUUUUUAUUGAAGUUCUCGCCCAAUGGUCAUUUGGAACCAGCGAAGGCUUCUAAACAGAGAAUUGGCUCUAAAAAUCAAAUGAACUGCCUAAUAAUCGAAAUGUCAGCUCUAAAAAGUCACAAAUGACUUGGAGAAGCUAUGUAAAGGCUUUAACGGUGAAAAUAUAAGGGAAUAUGGAAAAUGACCUGAAGGGUCAUUACAAUAUCAACUACUAAAAGAACUUUCAUCCACGAAAGUUAAGGACUAGGAUAUACCUAAAGUCUCGAAUAAGUGAGGGUACUAGGUCCAUAUAUCACUUUAGAUCUCCCAAGUCGCCUCCUCCACUGGACUGUUGAUAAGCCAUCAUUUGACGACUUUCUAGUACUUUUUAAGCCUAAAUUAUCAUGCUUUUUUCAUUGAUUUCCGUUGAUUUGAUAUUUAUCUUAUACUUAAUGCUCAUUUGAGUAGGAAAAGUUGAAAAGGGAAUAUGAGCAAGUCGUUCAAGUCAAAAGGAGGUCAAAUGUAAAAGUAAAGGGCCAUUUGCAUUGCAUCCGCUUUCCACCUGCUUUCCACCUACUCUCCAUUUGCUUAAACAGAUCAGGUGUAAGGUGGCAUUUUUAUAAUAUUAUGCAAAUGUAGAAUUGGGGCUUAAAUAAGGGAUUUUAUCUCUUUUUCACCAUUUUUUAUCUUACAUAUCUCCUAUCUAUAGUUUAGGGUCUUGUAAUUUUCUUGGAGCUUGGUACCUAAAUUUGUUCUAAUUUGAGCUAAGACUUGAUUAAAGGAACUCCAAAGAGUGGAUUUGGCAUCUUCUAUUGAAGAUUCAUUGGAUCUUAAAUUGUGGUUUGCGUUAUCUUUAUUUUUAAUAAAUAGCUUUGAUGGAAGUUUUGGUUUAUUUGUGUUUAUUAUGUGUAUGAUUUGCCAAAUCUACCUCUUGGGGUUAUGUUUGAAUAGGGUGUAAGUGUGUAUGGGUAGUGAUAUAUUUGUGUAUAUUCUAGUGUUUUGAUGAUGACUUCCACUAUUGCUUGAAUAACUUGGUUGGGAUUUUUGGGUGAAAGCCCCAAAUACCCAAAUGGGUUUGAUGGGUGAAAAUCCCAAACUCUUAAAAUCUCAAAUCAUCCUUGAAAGUGGGGUUUGGGUGAAUUUUAGGAACCUACAUCAUCUUUGAAAGAAGAAUGUUGGAACCAAGGUAAUAGUAGACAAUUAAUGGCAUAAUUGGCUAAUUUUUGCUAUCUUAGAAAUAAGGGCAGUUAUGAGGUUGACUAUACCUUGGGUACCAUCCUAGAAAUAGGGGUGCUAAUUGAGGUUUUGGGUGGUUUUAAUUGCCAUGCUCGUCAGGUACUUGAAAGGGUCAAUGAGUGACAUCUUUGAGUUUUUGUUGAAAAACUAACCCCAAAGACUUUAAACCUUACCUACCACAUCAUCUAUUAGAAUUUGCACUAAAUCAUCAUGUUCUCAUGCAUAGGUUGCACCUAGGAAAACAUAACCCCAAGAUUCGUUUGUAAUUGUUUACGCUCUAAUUAUUCUUAGUCUCGAAUUAGCCCCUUAGAAGCCCAAGAAUUGUUUAUAUGUUAAAAGCUAUUUCAAAAUCCAAAAAUCAUUUUGUACCAUAGGUUUGAAUCUAGUUAGUAGCUUUAAUUUUGAACCUACUCAAUCGCCACUCACAUUAUUCUCCGUGGAUUCGACCCCGACUCUUUGGUUGGGUAAACAUAUUGACAACGACCGCCUUGCACCGAAAUUGAUGUGUAAGUUGCGCAUUAUGAAAAAUAGCGCCGUUGUCGGAGAACAAUUUGGUGUAUUGAGUUAGUUUGAAAUUUUAGUUUACUUGCUUUAAUUCAAAUUUGUAAAUAUUUAUUUGUGAUUUUAUUUUGCUUCUUGUGUAAAUUAGAUUUUUUUGAUUUCUUGUUUACUUGUUACUAUGGCAUCUCGGGACUACUAUGAUUUUGGUGGUUGGAAAUGCUAUCUUGAUGGUCCAUGUACAUUGUAAUGGAUCCCACUUUUGGCAAGAUUGUAGAUAUGCUCCUCGAAGAGAGAUGUGUGCACUAUCUUGAUCUUAUAGGGAGUAUGGUUGUUCUCUAUGUGGUGGUCGAGAUGGACAUUAUAGUGAUUGUCCAAAUGCCCCUACCCCCGUUAUGCUAACCCAAUUGCUAGUUCUUCUUAUGAUUUUGAUAGGUCUUAUGGUCAAGAAAAGGAAGAACGAAGCACCGAAAAGAGUGGCAUUGAAGCCAUGAUUCAACUAAUCUUGGAUCGUUUGGAAUCAACGGGAGAUAACAUACGUGAUAUGCAUCAAGACAUGGGGGAAUGUAACGAGGAAAGAAAGAGGAUAGAAGAGAUGGAUAUGGAGGUCAAUAAUUCAAACACCAUAACCAUGCCUACUCUUCUAAAUGAGCUUGAUGUCGAGGAACCCAUGGUAAUUUCCCAACCAACCGAAUCAACCAUGAGGGAUGAUACCAAGAUUGAGGAAAUAGUGCUAGAGUCAAAAGAAGAAACCAAGCAAAUCUCUUAUAAAGACUCUAUCUCAAUUUAGGGUGAAGAUGUUGAGAAGGAUAAAACUCCAAAAUUAGGGAGAAAACCUCACUCGAACCACUUUUCAACAUUAUGCUUGGCGGAUGUGAUGAAAGUCGAACCACCCAAGCAAAUGAUAAAUUUUGGAGAUGAGGAGUAAAAUCCCUACAUUUUGGAGUUUGUCAUUCCAAAAGAAAAAAAUGAAGCCCCUCACUUGAAGGCCAAUAAAUGCAAAAUUCGGUGUGUAACAAGUGAAUUUUUAAUGCACUCACCAAUACCCAAUGAGACUAUUUGGAAGUUUGAUGUGAAGUUGGGUAAAAGGUUUAAAUCUUUAAAGUGGCGAGAUAGAAAAUAUUUCAUUGUGUCCUCACCUUUGUCCAAAAUGCCUCAAAUAUGUAUUGAUCUAAAGUUGGACCGCCGUUUCAAGUCUUUCAAAUGGAGACAUUAAUUUUAUAAGUAAAAGAUGUCAUGUCACGACUUUAACUAAAAAGCUUCUUGGGAGGUAACCCAAGAAUUUUUUCUUGAUGUUUUCUAAUGUUUUUAAUUUAUUUUUAGCUUGUUUUUGGGUGUUCGUAGGUGAUAGCACAAGUGAAAUGGGUACUUCAAGAAUGAAAAACCGGAUAAGUAUAUUGGACUUUCGUUUAUCACUUUCUUUCUUUAGUAAGCUUACCAGGUAUGAUCUUUAAAAUGUGAAUGAAGACUACAUUUCAUGGUUUCUUUUGGUUUGAAUUUAAUCCAUUUGAGCUUAAUUUGGUAGAAUGUGGUUGUUGGGAUGAAGAUUUUUGAAUGAGUGUCUUGUGCUAAAUUGUAAAAUUCUUGCUUUUAUACACUAGUGCACAUCACGUAUUUCAUGAAACACCCACUUGAGGUUUAUUUGCUUAAUUGAGUGGUAGGUGAUUCAAUUUGGUUAGUGUGAUUACAAGUGGUGUAUUUGGUGAUGAAUUGAUGUAUUGGGCUUGUUCACAUGUGGUGUUAUUCUAUCUAUUCAAGCUCUUAUAUUUUAUGCACACUACAUGUAGUGUUAUUCUAUCUAUUCAAGCUCUUAUAUUUUAUGCACACUACAUGUUUGUUAAAAUAUCAAUAAGAGAGAAAUGCUUUAUAUGCUUAUAAAGGUUAAUGUGAACUUUCUUGGGGCAUUGUGUGAUCAUUUUGGGAGCAUGACUUUGAGUCCAAUUGAUUUUGAAUGUGGAAUAUCCUAUGGUCUUUGAUUAAAAUUAUUGAGGAAUGUUGUGCCCAUGGUAAGAGAGAUAUGAAUGCUUAUCUUGUCCUAUGAUAGAUUGGGUGACUCCAUUCUUAAGGGUAUAGAGUCGUUUGUGUUUCUAUUAGUGUUAUGAGUAUUUUAGGAUCUAAAUGGGUGAUAUGUGAAGUUGUGAGAAAAGAAUCCCAUGAAGUGUAAUGAUAAUGUUGCCUUGCAUUCACCCAAAUUUUUAUUUAAUUGUUUAGGAAGAAGCAAAAGUUCAAAAAUACUUUCAAAAUGUAAUUGACAAGAAAUAAAAUGAUUUUGAAAAAAUAAAUAAAAAAUAUAGUUUUCUUUUUGAAAAAAGAAGAUCAAGGAUUUUUGUGAGCAUUCUUUUAAGUGAGUCCAUUAAAUUCAAUUUUUGGCUCUCUUUUUACAAGGACGAGUCCUCGACUUGGAGUAACUUAUUAAGCUCAAAAAGCUCAAAUUGGUUGGGUGACUAACUUUUUGCUCUAUAAGAAUGAUGCCAUGUGUGGUGAGAUUUUUGUAUAAUUCUUGUACCUAUGUGUAGUCUAGAACUUGCCCCUAGUGUGUUCAAAGUGAAAACCUAGACAAGCUUGGUUUGGAGAAUGACCCAAGGCCAUUUUCACCCGUCACAUAGCCAAAUUCCCACCUUAGUAUUUUUUCCUAGUUAACCCCUUCGGGCCUUUUUACCUAUUUUUCUUUCUUUGUCUAAUGAUAACUUUGCUAAAACACUUUAGCCCUUUUUAAAAUCUUUCUUUUGGAACUUAACCUCCUUUGAUGCAUUGCAUGAUUCUAAGAAAUGAAAUAUAGGCAAAAGCCUAAGUUUGGAGGAAUGGAUGUGAUGUGCUAAGAUGAGCCAAGAAAGGUGUAUGUAAGGUUGUCAACUCAUGUUCUUAAAAGACAAGAGAUGUUCUUAAUAAUAAAGUUAAAUAGCCUAGCCCAUAGAACUUGAAAAGAAAUUGGAUGAAUGAAGGGUGAAUAAGGGCUUAAAGUUAGAAAGUCUCUUGAAAAAGCCAAAAAAGUGAAAAAAAAAAAGAAAAUGGAAGCUUUGAAUUGUUUUGUAAAUGAAAAAAAAAGAAAAGGGAAAUAUGGAAAAUGAUUUGAAGAAGAAUAAGGUGAGAGUUUGAAAAUUUUAGGGAUAGAAAGGGUUGAAAAAUUGCAUUGAAGGAGGUAUUUUAGUCACUCGAUCCAUAGAUAUUCCUUCCCACACCUUAAACCUUCAUCUUGACCCGCAAUACCUUGGUGAUUUCAAACUAGUUAAGUCUAAAUUAGUGGCGAAAAACACAAAGGAAAAGCCUAUGGUUCUACUCAUUGUACUUGAAUUUCUUUGCGAGAGUGAGUAUGAAUUCUUUCAUUAUUUGGGCACCUCUAGAAAUUUUCAUGUACUUUGUGUGUGUGGAGCUAACUCUUGCUUGUGAGCGGCAUCAAUACUUUGGGUAGAGGGUGAAGUAUUACUCUCGGUUUGGGUAAAUGGGUGAAGUAUGUUGCAUUGUGAAGAUUGAGACAAUUUUUGAAAAUUGUAUGUUUCCUCUUAAGAUGCUUUGUUGAUUUGGAAGGUUUAUUUGAUACAAACUUGCAUCUUUUCUUUAUAAAUAUGUGCUUAUUAAAAAAAAUGGUUUACUUGUUGCCAUGACAUGUUUAGAAAGUAUUUGAAGAGCUUUGGUAGCUUAUUCCUUUACUAUGGCUUUCCUUUGGAUGGAUUUGAGUUAAAUACCUUAUCUCUUUGAAUUGUUCUUGAUUACUGGAGGACAAACAAUAGUUUAAGUUUAGGGGUGUUGAUAAUCCGUUAUUUGACAACUUUCUAGUACCUUUUAAGCCUAAAUUAUCAUGCUUUUUUCAUUGAUUUCCGUUGAUUUGAUAGUUAUCUCAUACUUAAUGCUCAUUUAUGUAGGAAAAUUUGAAAAGGGAAGAUGAGCAAGUCUUUCAAGUCAAAAGGAGGUCAAAUGUGAAAGUAAAGGGCCAUCUGUGUUGCAUCUGCUUUCCACCUGCUCUCCAUAUGCUUAAGUAGAUCAAGAGCAAGGUGGCAUUUUUGUAAUAUUGGGCAAAUGUAGAAUUGAAGCUUAAAUAGGGGAUUUUAGCUUAUUUUCACCAUCUUUUAUCCAUCUUUUGUCUUACAUAUCUCCUAUCUAUAGUUUUUUCUUGGAGCUUGGUGGCUAAAUUUGUACUAAUUUGAGCUAAAACUUAAGUAGAGAAAUUCCAAAGAGUGGAUUUGGCAUCUUCCAUUGAAGAUUCAUUGAAGCUUAAAGUGUGGUUUGCCUUAUCUUUAUUUUUAAAGAAUAACUUCGAUGGAAGUUUUGGUUUAUUUGUGUUUAUUAUGUGUAUGAUUUGCUAAAUCUACCUCUUGGGGUUAUGUUUGAAUAGGGUGCACGUGUGUAUGGAUAGUGUUAUAUUUGUGUAUAUUCUAGUGUUUUGAUGAUGAGUUCCACUAUUUCUUCAAUAACUUGGUUGGGAUUUUUGGGUGAAAGCCCCAAAUACCCAAAUGGGUUUGAUGGGUGAAAAUCCCAAACUCUUGAAAUCUCAAACUAUUCUUAAAAGCGGGAUUUGAGUGAAUUUUAGGAACCUACAUUAUCUUUGAAAGAGGAAUGUUGGAACCAAGGUAAUAGUAGACAAUUAAUGACAUAAUUGGCUAAUUUUUGCUAUCUUAGAAAUAAGGGCAGUUAUGAGGUUGACUAUACCUUGGGUACCAUCCUAGAAAUAGGGGUGCUAAUUGAGGUUUUGGGUGGUUUUAAUUGCCACACUCGUUAGGUACUCGAAAGGGUCAAUGAGUGACAUCUUUGAGUUUUUGUUAAAAAACUAUCCCCAAAUACUUUAAACCUAGCCUACCGCAUCAUCUAUUAUAAUUUGCACUAAAUUAUCAUGUUCUCAUACAUAGGUUGCCCCUAGGAAAACAUAACCCCAAGAUCCAUUUGUAAUUGUUUACUCUCUAAUUAUUCUUAGUCUCGAAUUAGUCCCUUAGAAGCCCAAGAAUUGUUUAUAUGUUAAAAGCUAUUUCAAAACCCCUAAAUCAUUUUGUACCUUAAGGUUUAAUCUAAUUAGUAGCUUUCAUAUCGAAACUACUCAAUCGCCACUCACAUUAUUCUCCGUGGAUUCGACCCCAACUCUUGGUUGGGUAAAUAUAUUGACAAUGACCGCCUUGCACAUAAAUUGAUGUGCAAGUUGAGCAUUAUUAGUGGUGACUUUACUGAACCUUAACUGCAUGAAUCUCUCUAGAGUGCAAUUGCCUGACAUCGCUAGCCUAAAUGAGCACCUGCUCCUCUACAAAGGUCAAACAUUCAUCCAACUAGACUGAGCCCCAUUUAAGCACAUGAGAAGGAUCUGGAAUAUAUCGCCGCAACAUAGACAAAUAAAAAUUGGAUGAACACUGACAAAAUCUAGAGGUAGAGCUAACUCAUAAGCCACCCCACCAACUGUACAGAGAAUUUCAAAAGGUCCAAUUUAUCUCGGACUAAGUUUAUCCUUCUUCCUGAACCUCAUUACACCCUUUAUGGGCAAUAUAUGAAGGAAUACAUGAUCACUAACCCUAAAUCUCAAGGGACGAAUCCUACAGUCUGCAUAGGCUUUCUACCUACUUUGAGCUGCUCUCCACCAAUCUUGAAUUACCCUAACUCUAUCCAGUGACUCCUGAAGCAAAUCUGUCUCAUGGGGUUUAACCUCAGAACUCUCAAACCAUCCAUCCAAAGAACGACAUCUCCUAUCAUACAAAACCUCAAAAGGUGCCAUCUCACUACUAUAAUGAUAGCUGUUAUUAAACGCGAACUCUGCUAAGGCGAAAUGCUGCUUCCACUGGCCUCCGAAAUCCAUAACAUAGGCUCGGAGCAUAUCGUCAAGAAUUUGAAUAGUCUGCUUCGACUGACCAUCUGUCUAUGGUUGAAAAGUUAAACUGAGAUCUACUUGAGUACCUAAAUUCUCCUGAAAGGCUUUCUAAAAUCUAGAAGUGAACACAAAACCUCGAUUUGAAAUAAUAGAAAUGGGCAUACCAUAUAGAUGGACUAUCUUCUGAACAUAGAUAUAGGCCAACCUCUCCGCACUGAAGGACAUCUAAAUAGGAAUGAAAUUAGUUGACUUGGUCAAACAAUCUACAAUAAUUCAAAGACCAUCAGAACCAUGAGAAGUACAAGACAAACCACUAAUAAAAUAUAUGGUAAUCCGUUCACUUCCACUUGAGAAUGGGCAACCUCUAAGUCAAUCCACCUAGUCGUUGAUGCUCAGCCUUUACCUACUAACAACAUAGGCAAUGAGAUACAAAAUCUUCCACAUCUAUAUUCAUAACACUCCACCAAUAAUGCUAUCUCAAAUCUCUAUACAUCUUAGUCGUGUCGGGAUGAAUGGAAUAUCUAAAACUGUGAGCCUUAUGCAAAAUAAACUGAAUCAAAUCAUCAAUCUAUGAAACACAAAUAUGGCUGUCAAAUCUCAAAACACCCUCAGAAUCUAUAGUGACCCUCUAAAAAUCACCACUCAAUAACUGAUCACGAAGGAAGCAAAUCUUGCUAUCCUUAAACUGACGAUCUCAAAUUUGCUCAAAUAAUGAGGACCUCACCUACACACUAACCAAAAUCCUCCCAGGAUCUAAAAUAUCAAGGUGAACCAUCAAGCUGGCUAAGGACUGAAUUUCAUGCGCCAACAAUCUUUGAGAGACUGAAAUACAAGCCAAUCUACCCAUGAUCAGUUCCUUUCGACUCAAGGCAUCUGUUACCACAUUCGCUUUGCCUAUAUGAUAUAAAAUUAAAAUAUCAUAAUCUUUAAGUAGCUUUAUCCAUCUACGAUAAUGAGCAUUAAGUUCCCUCUGGGUUAUAAGAUGCUGAAGACUACGAUGAUCGGUGAAAAUCUUAUAACACACACCAUAAAGAUAAUACCUCCUCUUAAGCGCAAAAACUAUUGCUGCCAACUCCAAAUCAUGAGUGGGGUAGUUGCGCUCGUGCACCUUAAGCUACCUAAAAGCAUAGGUAAUAACAUGACCUUGUUGCAUUAAUACGUAACCCAAACCAACACCAGAAACAUCACAAAACACGGUAAAUCCCUCACCCUCAAUAGAAAGAGAGAGAAUAAGAGUUGAAGAAGAAAACCUUUGAGAUUUUCAAAGCUCAACUCACACUCCUCGGAUAAUUAGAAAGGAACCUCUUUCUGAGUCAAUCUGGUUAGAGAGGCUGAAAUAGUAGCAAAACCCUCAAUGAACCGUCUAUAAUAAUUGACCAAACCAAUGAAGCUACAAACAUUAGUCAGAGAUGUAGGCCUAGCCCUAUCAUGAAUCGCCUCAAUCUUAGAUGGGUCUACCAUAAUCCCAGUCUUAGACACCACAUGUCCAAGAAAUAUCACCAACUCAAGCCAAAACUCACACUUAGAGAACUUGGCAAAAAGCACAUGAUCUCUAAAAGUUUGGAGCACAAUCCUUAAAUGCUGCACAUGCUCCUCACUACUCCUCAAUAUCGAUGAACACAAUUAUAAAAGAAUCCAAAUAUGGUAUGAACACACAGUUCAUCAAAUCUAUGAAUGCAGCUAGGGCAUUAACCAAGCCAAAAGACAUCACUAAGAAUUCACAGUGACCAUAAUGGAUUCUGAAAGAUAUCUUAGGGAUAUCCUCAACCGAAUCAUUAACUGAUGGUAACUAGAUCUUAAAUCAAUCUUAGAAAACACUGCAACUCCCUGAAGUUGAUCAAACAAAUUAUCAAUGUAAGGCAUAGGAUAAUGGUUCUUCACCGUUACCAUAUUAAACUUCCUAUAAUAAAUACACAUAUGCAUGGAACCAUUUUUCUUCUUCAUAAAUAAAACAGGAGCUCCCCACAGCGACGCACUCAAUCUAAUAAGACCCUUACCAAGAAGAUUUUAAACUUGAGAAUUCAACUUCUUAAGUAUGACAGGAGCAAUAUGGUAAGGUACCAUAGAAAUAGGUUAGGCACCAAGCUCGAGAGCAAUAGCAAACUCAAUCUCACGGAUAAGGAGAAUACCAGGCAGAUUGGUAGGGAACACAUCAAAAAACUCACAAACAAGAAGAACAGAGUCAAAUAAUGGACUCUCCACACAAUUAUCACAAAUAUAAGCAAGAUAAGACUCGCAACCCCUUAAAAUAAGCCUCCUAACAUGAACAUAAGAAAUAAUCCCAGUUGGCUCAUGACUAACUGCUCCAUGCCGUACGACUGAGGGUAUAUUAGGCAUGACAAAGGUAACGGUCUUAUCAAAAUAGUCUAUAACUGCAUGAUAGUGGGAUAAGUAGUUCACGCCUAGAAUCAUAUCAAAAUCCACCAUAUCCAGAAUAAUAAGAUCAACAUAGUAUCAAUAUCACUAAUUUUCAUAAUACAUAAUCUGAAUACUCGAUCCACUUCUAAAAAAUACCUACGAGAGUUGAUUCGUGCAGUGGCACGGAUAAUGAAUCAUAAGAUAAUUCCAAUCGUGGUGUAUAAUAAUCAGAUAUAUAAGAAUAAGUGGAUCUCAGAUCAAAUAAAUCAAGGGUUGACUGGCGGUACAUCAAAAUCAUACCUAUGAUAAUAGCAUCCAAAGUCUCAGCCUCGGUCCUAGCAGGUAUUGCAUAGUACUGACCACGCUCAUCACCUGGCUGGGCACCUAACCGAUUUCCCAUCUUGCCUGCUUGAGAACUUCUUCGAGCACCAGAGGAACUACCAUUACAAGCAUGAGAACUACCUCUGUACGAAGGAUAAAUUGCUCUAAUAGGGAAUACAUACUGAGUUGAAAAAAACUCGUUCUACGAUUAGGCAUUCACAUGAAUAGUGACCAAGAGAUCUACAACUAUAACAUGCCCCUUGAGCUAAAACGAAAUCAAUCGAUCCGACUGACCAAGAGUAACCACUAUGACUAAAAUAACUAGAGGGCACACCUCUCGAAGACUGACCACUACCUUAAUGAUAACGCUCAACUCACUCCUAUAAUUGAGGGGUGAUACGGUCGUUAUCAAGUAAUCUAAUUUGAAUUGGGGUAGAAUCUCAAGGAGAAAAUUAUAGACUUCAACCCCUAUGGGUGUUUAAAUUACUAUGAGGUUACCCGAAAUGCUAACAAAAAUAACAUGUGAAAUAAAAUGGGGGGUGGGGUUUUGUUUGGAAACUUUUUGUAAUAUCUUUAGCAAAUGAUCAAGAGAUGACACUUUUAUUUUAAGAAACAAUGUUGGGGGAAAUCUUGAGAUUAUGCCUACUUAAAGGUAAAAGUAUGUGGGUUAAUGAUGGUUUAGCAUGAAGUUUAGUUGUUAACUAAAGUAUAGGCUAGGUCGAAGGUCAUUGUGGUUAAUCUUUUGAUAAAACCACAAUGAUUUCACCCGUUGGCUCUUUCGAGCACCUAACAAGUGUGAAAUUCGUAAUCACCCAAAACCUCAAUCAAGAAUACCUAUUUCUAGGAUGAUGCUCCUGACAUGAUUUACACUCCUAAUACACUUAUUUCUAAGAUUGAAAAAUGGAGCAAACCAUAAGCUUAAUUAUCCACCAUUGCCUUGUCCUCCUAUAAUCCUCUUUCUAGGAUGUUAUGGGUUACCUCAUAUUCACCUGCAUCCCUCUUUCAAGGAUGAUAAAGGGUUUCUAAAAGUUUGGAGUUUUCACCCAUUAAAUCCAUUUGGAGAUUUAGGGCUUUCACCUAUCAAAUUCCAAAUCAUAAGCUCAAGCAAUGGUGAAAUCUUACUCAACAGCUAACAAUCAUGCAAACACAACAAUACCCACACAUAAAUUACACUCUAGUUCAAUAUAAUCCCAAGAGUAACUUACUUAGCUACUCAUGAAGAAAGUAAAGAGAGAUAUAUCAUAAGGAUUAUCCAAAGCAUUCAUUCUUCGUAAAAAUGCUAAGAAAUCAAGCCUCCAAAAUUAGUUACACACUUGCCCAGUUAGGGUUUCAAGCUUUCAAUUCAAAAUAUCUUAUGAGGUAAGCAAUAUUCCAAGAAGAAAGGGUUUUUCCCUAAAUAUGGUUUGAAAUUCGUCUCUGUAAUUUUACAAAUCUGCCCCUGGGCUUAAUCCCGCUGAACUACAUCGUGCCGGUUUGACUGCAAUCACAGCUUCACAACCGUAAUUUACUGACUUUUGCUUGACUGCCAUGAUUGCGGUCAGCAGACCGCGAUCGUGGUACCUGAGGCCCUUUUCUCCAAGUAUUCAACUAGAUUUUCUUGCUUUCUUUUGAUCAUUUUAAGCUCUUUUCCAUAUUUUUUUAUUUCAUCAACUCCAUGCCUUCAAAAAGGGGAUAUUAAUGCAUUUAAUUACAAUUAUGUAUUAUUUUAUUCAUUUAAAAUAGGGUAAUAUGCAUGAGUGAUUAGUGUGAAUGAGUGGUAAAAUCACCGCUCAUCACCUGACCAGGGCAAUCACUCGCACUAGACUGAUCCCUAUUCGUAAUCUGAAGAGUUUCCUAAACCGGUCAACUGGUCUAAACUUGAGACUGAUAAUAAAGGCAUGGAGAAUCUCUACCAUGAGAGCUACCACCUCUGAACCAAAAACUACUAUGGCUUCCACUAAAUCUGCCUUGAAGCCUAGGCCUCUUGUCAUAGCCCUUACGACUCUCCGAUGUAUCUCCUCCAUCACCUGAGCAUGAGUCGAUACCUCAACAAAAGACCCAUCCACAAUAAGUAAAAUUUGAGUAGAUAUACAGAUGGGAAGUCUCAACCCUCUGACAAAGAAGCAAACUCUCUUAUACUUAAAAAUCAAAAUGGAAGUGGCAUGCCUAGCUAACUCAUGAAAAUAAGCCUUAUACUUAUCAAUUGUCAUGGAGUCCUACUCCAGUCUCAUGCACUAAUCCCUCAAACCAUCACUGAGAUACGAGGCAUGUACUUCUCUAAGAACAUCUCAAAGAAUUGAGCCCAAGAUAAAUAAGAAGAUCCAGCUAGCCUAGAGUCCAUGAAACCUUUUCAUUAAUGAAGAGAAGACAAAUCCAACUAAAAUAUGGUGUAAUCCACACCAAGAGUCUUAGAAAGGCUAAAAUUACAGAGCCUAUCCUCACAAGUAAUCAAAAACUCAUAUACGUACUCUCCCGGAGCCCUAAAGGGCGGAGCCAAUCUUAAGAAUAUACCCAAUAUAUUCUGCUCCUUAGAAGACAUAGCAGGUUAGGUAAUGACUAGCUAAGAAACUACCAACUAAGAAACUACCGAUGCACGAGGAACCUCAACUUUGGGAGCCACAAUAACUGGCUACACCCCUACCUCAGUACUACUCUAAUAUAUAAACUAUGUACCAUUAGAUGACACACAACCAACUAUCCCCAAAAUAUGAACCAACUUAUCUCUGAGCACUAAAGAAGAAAUAAACCCUUGUGGAGCCUGGGCUGGUCCCUGGCCCACCGUUGGCUAUGGCAGAAGAAUAUAUGGAUCAUGAGCAGAAAUAGAGUCUGAGGAAGGUGACCAAUCCUGGACCCUAGCUGGGGACACAUCACGUGGGUAUCCAUAACCUUUAGGUCAUCUAUGUCCUAUAGUAGUAUCCCUAGGUCCGAUCUCGAGACCCUCAUCUCGUGUAGCGGUAGCAUGUGUCCUGGCCAUCUGGAAAAGAGUGAGGUCAAAGGAAUAUUCUACACCCAAUGCAAACUUUUAACAUGAAAUGAAUGAAAGAAGUGACAAAAUCCUAAGAGUGACCUAUACCCUCCUGAAUAUAGGAAACAAAUGUCAACAUUCUGAUCCACAUAACUCAACUAAAGACUUGCUCUUGUACCGAUAAUGUCGGUGAAACCUAGGCUUUGAUACUAAUUUGUCGCAACCCAAUUUAUGAGCCAUGAUGACACCUACUAUACCCCACCAGUAGGUAAGCCAAAUUGUAACCCGAAGUUAUACACAAUAGGUUAACUUUGUGGAAAUAUCCAUCAUAGGAGGAAAUUUACAACAUAAUCAAAAAGUAAUAAGGCAUUCCAAAUAGAUAUAAGAUAGACAAUACAAGGUACUAUCCCAAAACUUGGUAGAUCCAGUACAAGAGAAUCUAAGUAAUAAUAGUAAUAAUACAACUCAAAAUAUCUAAAAGGACUGCUACACCUAUAUAGAUACAAAAGAUUGAAUGAAAAGAUAGAGGGAAAUAGGUGACUCCAACUCCAAGAGCUCACCCUAUCUCCAGAAAUUCAAAACAGCUCAAACAAUGGUCAACAAUGACAACUAGUACUCAAAUCUGUAUUAAAAAGGUACAAAAGUAUAGUAUGAGCACCAAAAUAAUAGGUUCUCAGUAGGCAUCACAUCCUAUUGAUUAGUAUUACAUAGAAAAAAUCAAUUAUAGACACUAAUACUAUCGAUCGACUGAGCUAAGUCAUGAUAUAGAGAUGAUAAAAUGCAGGAUAACAUAACUAAGUUAAAGUACAAAAUCGAACCUGAAUUUUCUCCAUCAUCACUGUGCAUAAAGAGUACAUAAAUCGUAAUAAUAGCGAUAAUAGAUCAUAAAGAGUCAAGUGCAUGCAAUCAUAAGUACAAAAUUAGCUCUUAUACACCAAUUGGUGUAGAAAAGUAAAGAACUCGUCAAAGCCUCCCAUAUGAAUAGAGAGUACACUUAAGAUAGUAAUAUAUCAACAUGUAUCAUUUACAACUACUCAUCUUCAUCAUUUAACCAUCUUUUCCAUAAUUUACCAUCAUUUGACACUAUAUCACCACUUAACAACUUAUCGCAUUUCAACACUUAACAAUAAUUCCCCAAAGUUUCACCAUUUAAAAAUUAGUCAUAUAUUAUAAUCAAUAUGAUCAAUUUACUAGUCAUCACUUAUCAUUUAAGCAUUCUUUUUCAACUAGUCAAUAUUUUAUACUAUGCAUCUUUCGUUAACUAAUCAUCACAAUCCAAGUCAUUUUAUGUCAUAGAAUACAUAUCUGUAUAUCCAGACUUGAACUGGUAUUUAGUCAAUCGCCGAAAUCAAACUAGUAAUUAUAUCACAAGUGUCAUAAUCAUCCUUUGGACUUGAGCUGGGUAUAUAUAAUAAAUAUCAUUAUCAUUACCUAGACUCAAACCAGGUAAAUAUAAUCCAUAUUAUCCUCCUCCUCUGAACUUGAACCAGGUAUAUAUAAUUAAUGUCCUAAUCAUAUUCCAGACUCAAAUGGGGAAUAUAUAGUUAAUAACAUAUAAUCAAUCUCAUAAUCAUUUUCCAGAUUCAAACUAUGAAUAUAUAUAUAUAUAUAUAUAUAUAUAAUCAAAAACAAAAUCAUCUUUAGAACUAAAAUUGAGAAUAUAUAACCAUCAUUAACAUAUACACACAAGAAAGACAUAACAUGAUCCAAAGCAUGAUAAUUAAUUGAAACACCCUAUACUUUGGCCCUUGCAAAUUAUUUUAAGUUUUGGACAUUUUUGACAAGGUACGAUUUAUGGGUACUAGUUGUAUGCUAAGAUACGGUUUAGUAAUCCCUCUUUCGUAUGUUAGAAAGCCCUAGGUACGAUUAGGUAUCAUACCAAUUGUAUGAUAGUGUAUGAGUGGUAUGUUUCCAAGUCGUAUGAUGUCUUAUUUAUGGUCUUGAUGAUUCUGACCAAGGUACGACUCUAAGAGUAUAAAAUGUAUGCUAUGAUAAAACUUGGCCUUGUAUGGUUGUAUACUGAUUAGUAUGGGGGUCCAAGGAGAGGUUUAGGGUAUGAGUAAGGGUACCACUCAUACCCUAGGGUACGAUUUAGGAGAGGUGAGUCGUACCCUCCUACGUGUGUUUUCAGCUUUUAAGCUGAGGAAAUUCCAGUCAUUUCCCACCCCAAAACCCUUAAGUCCCCAUGUUAUAUAACCUUAGGUGGCCUCUCAUAACUCACUUUGGAAAUAUAAAACACUUUCAAAUCCUCUCUAAACUCUCUCUUGGAGAUUGGAGCCUAGGGUUUCUACAAGUGUCCAUCUAGAGGCUCAAGAGUCAAGUUUCUCUUCUUUAAUCUUCGGAAAUAAGGCAUGUUACUCCUUCUUCAUUGUUAGUUCCAGCUAAAGGCAUAUUUUAUGAAUUAUUUUCAUGACAUGAAUGUUGUAUGGUUUUGGGUUUGCAAAUAUAUAUUGGAUUUUUUGGUUAUAAAUGCUUGGUUAUGGGUUUUCCAUAUUUUAAUUACUAAUUUACAUAAUUUAAUGGCGGUUUGGAUAUUUGGUUGCGUGAGAAUGGUUAAUUGGAACUUGGUUUUGGCUUUGGAAACACUAAACCCCAAUGUGUUUGAUAAAAUGACUAUGAGAAUGCUCUUACUAAAUUGUUGGACUUUCAUUGAUGUAUUGCAUCGUUAACUUGGUCAUGGAACCCUAAAUGGUCUAAGUGGUUGGAUUGGUCAAAUCGUAAGGUCCUAGUGGUUAUGGUUGUUUUAAUUAAAAGCCUUGUGGGUUACAAAAGAAUCCCCCUAGCAAGCUAAGUAAUGAACAUACUUGUGGGGUACAUGGGAAUCCCCUAAGCUAACUUUAUAAUGUAAUUUAUAGGGAUAUGGGAAUCCCUUCUUCUCUAAAAGGUUGGCUAAGGACAUUGCUUGCAAGCUAUAGUUGGAUGAUGAUACCACUACUUUUAGCCUUGGUUAAUAAUUAAUGGAAUUGUGGUCUUGGUUAUAUGGUAAUGGUUUUAAUUGGACAAUAAAGGCGGGGUGUGAUAGCUAACCAUGUAGGUGUGAGUCCAUUGGAAGGACACUGGAAACUCAUAUUUGCCGACAUGAGGAUUGAUCAUGAUGACCAUAUGAGGUACAAGGAAAUUCCCAAGUUAGGAUUAUCUGUAUGUAUCAUAGAGAGCGAAGGGUACUUGGGAAUCCUCAUAUCCUAUGGUAUUUUUGGUUUGUGCGGCUACACUCACUAGGGCCCGUUUAGGGGGUUACAAUGGACUCAUAUAGCCCAUGGGUGGUUCUAGGAUGGUUAAGAUACAUAUACCUAAGUUAAUGGUUUUAAAUGUGUGCUAAGCCCAGUUUCUUUUCCCGGCAUGGAUUUAUAUAUAUAUAUAUAUAUAUAUAUAUAUAUAUAUAUAUGAUAUAUAUAUAUAUAUAUAUAUGGUUGUGAAUGUAUAUGGUUGUUUACUUGGUUUUAAAGUUGGAAUUAUUUUAUCCUUAUCCUGAGUGUAUGCUAGCAUUCACCCACUAACCCAUCUUUGCGCGUUGUAUCCCCACGUGAUACAGGAACCAACCAUACUACUCCUCCUGCUCAUUAAUCGAAUUUGAGGACCGUUGGUAUUGGAUUAAAGUGGUGAGCUUCCAUAGUUUAGAAGACAUCUAUUUCAUGUCAUAGAUUACUUUACAUUUUUUUUUUCAUAGACUUUGGUUUUUGGCUAUGGUUAGGGGCAUGUCCCGACUAGAUACUCUUUGGUUUAGAGGAUUUGUAUGUACAAAAGUGGACUUGGGUAUGGAAUAAUUAUGAUAUAUAUAUAUAUAUAUAUAUAUUUAUGCAUAUUGGGUUAUGGUAUUGGUUUGGUUGGUUAGUUUUUAGAUGGAUUGACUUGGUCGGGUCGGUCUAGAAAGUAGACCUAGCUCAAAGUCCUUAUAUCUCCAAAUAUAUUAUCUUGUUAUAGGUUCGGAAUUCAUCUAACUCAGUUCAUAUGUUGGUUGGUUGGAUUGGGUAUUGGGGGUGGUCUCCGAUCCCAGUUAGACUUGAGAUGCCCAUUAUGACAAGGCCCUGGUUUGAGUCGUGUCAAAUUGGUUUCAGAGCCUAGGUUUUGAUGUCAUAGGGUGUCUACAAUGCCGUGUUGAGUAGAGUUUUUCUUAUGGGUGUGUUGUGCACUAGACUUAUAAUUAGGAGGCUAUGAGGCAUUUAAAAAUGUUCCACUUUCUUGUUGUUCUACUUUCGGGCUAUGGAGUCUAUUACCUUGAACCCUCCCCUAAAUCUUCUUUUGGUUCACCAUUCAAUCAUGUCCUCUCAAUGAUCUAAAGUUCGUGGAAACUCACCUGUCCCACUUGAGGAUGAUAUGGAUGGAUCUUGUCCAAAUCAUGAGGCACAGACCUGGUCAAGGGUCGUAGUUUUAAAUUUUUCUCGUAGAGUUCCACCGGUCUCCACUGACCCUACUUUGGAAGGAGGCACUCAUGUUCAGUUAACUCAAGAAGAGGUUACCAAUGCUGAGUUUCAACAUUCUAUUAAUCUAUUAACUUAGAUAGUGACAACUCUAUCACACCAGUCUGGUUAUAUUAGUAUGGACAAAAAUAAGGCAAGGUCCAAAAUCAGGAAGUAAGAGGUCUUAAUUUUCUAAACAAAAGAGAGGACAACAGUAUGGUGGUAAGUGGUCCAAGAGGAAAAGUUGAGUGGGUCCUAACUCUUAUUCUAUGGCUAGUGCUUCCUACUCGAAGUCAUUGGGAGAUAGACAUUUUUAGAAUGGUAAUGCUUCUAAGGCAUAAGGUGUCCAAUCUUAAGCCAGUAGGCCCCAAUACGCACCAUCCUAUCCUCCUUAUAGAUUUUAUGGUCGGUCACACCAUGGUUGUUGCAAAAAAGGGAGAAAAUAGUGUUUUAGUUGUGGUCAGUUGGGUCACAUGCAAUGAGAGUGUCCCAUAAGGAUUGCCUCUUGGUCAAAUAGGAUACCGAUUGCUACUUCUCAAGCUUUUGCACCAAGAGGUGCUGCUUCUAGCUCCGACAUUGGUCGGGAUCAUCUCAAUGCCUUCACUAUCCUUCAGAAGUUUAAGGCAUUUUUUGAUGUUGAUACUGGUAUGUUGUAACUUUUUUCUCAUGAUGUGUAUGGUUUACUUGGUCCGGGGUACCUUCUCUCUUAUGUGACCCCAUUUGUGGUGAUGUAUUUUGGUUUAGGACCCAAGGUUAUUUUGGACUCUUUUUCUAUUUCUACCUCAAUAGGUGACUCUGUGAUUGCCAAAAGGGUCUAUAGGGGGUGUAUGAUAUCUGUUAGUGGUAAGGAGACUAUGGUAAUUUGUUUGAAUCAGAUGUGGUGGAUUUCAAUAUCCUUCGGGGUAUGGACUGGUUACACUCAUGCUAUGUAUCAUUGGACUGUUAGAACCAUAAGUUUGUCUUUAAACUCCCUAGUAAUUUGGUUGUUGGGUGGAAGGAUGGUUUCCUAGCUCUUAAAGGGAAUGUUAUAUCAUAUAUUAGAGCUCAGAGAUUAAUCUUCAAAGGGGUGUCUCUAUUAGUAUUUGGUCUGGGUUAAAGAUUCUAACUUGGAGGUCCUUCUCUGCGUUCAGUUUUGGUGAUGAAUAAAUUUCCUGAGGUCUUUCUGAUGACCUUCAUGGUGUCCUUCUAAUAGGGAUAUUGAUUUUGGGAUUGGUAUUAUUUUGGACACUCUUCCAAUUUCUAUUCCUUCUUUAUAGAAUGGCUCCAAAGAGAGUAAAAAAGCAUAAGUAGCAAUUAAAGGACUUCUUAGGUAAAGGUUUCAUCUGUCCUAGUAUUUCUCCGUAGGGUGUCUUCCAUGCUUUCUGCAUAAAGGAGGGGAUAGUUUCCCCUGGGAAUGAAUAGGUUGUUGGUAGAUGAAUAGAAAUUUUAGGGUGUUCUCCUUAUGGGGUAAACCAUGUAUGUAUAUUCUAUAUUUAGGUAGUGCAUGGUGGUUGGUAGACACUAAGUGUGAAUCCUAGAUGUUGCUGUUGAUAAAGAGAGUAGGUUAGCUCGGGGAUAGUCAUGCAAAAAUUAUGGAGGUAGAUUAGUAGGUUGGUUGAGAUAUGUAGAAGGGGUGAGGUUGAUAACUUGGGGGCUAAGUCAUUGGAUAGGUUAGAGCAUGAAGUUUGUAUGACUAUGCAAGACUAUAGGUAGAAUUUGGGUAGAUGAGGUUUAAAGUUUAGGUGAACCAAGCGUCCCUAGUGAUCAUCCUUGGUAAUACCCUUUAGAGCGGAGUAUUGUGCUUACAGGUUUAAUAAGAUGAAGGUCGAGCAUUAAUCUUAAAUUUUCUUUUAGUGGUGGAACUCAAGGGAAGGUCGGGAUGUAUUUACUCCUAUUCUAGUGAUUCUCUCCUAUCUCGGUUAAGAGAGCAUUCUCAUAGUGUUGCACACAUUCUGGUAGGGCUUAUGCCUAAGGUUCGCAUUCUGCAUUAGCCCUGCUCCCUAGAUAUGAAUCUUGGCCUUACAUUAUAUUUGCAUUACCUGUGGUAUGUGCAGUUGUGUUUCUUUUGGUGUCCAGUCUUAAGGACUCCUACUAUGGUAUGGUUUUGUCGGGAUGAUUAUUCAUUUAUGACCUAGGUGGUUGCUAUGAAGUACUUCGUGCCUAUUGUAUUGUGUGUUAUUUUAGAGUUCUCUCCUUGAGUAGCAUGAGUGGUUCUUGUACUUUAGUUCCUUAAUGACCCUUCUUAUGUUAAGGUGGUGGUGGCUUUGGAAGUGUAGUGAUAUUUUAAAAUAGGGGAAAGUAGAAGUCCCUAGGUGGGGAGAUUUUGGGGUGACUACUAGAGCUAAGGUUUUGGAGGGUGAGGUAAGGUUGUUCCCAUGAUAAAUGGUUAGAAGGGGAGUAGAUGGUGAAAAAUCUUUGUGAAAAUAAUAAAGGUUACUAAAUAUUUGGAAGGAUAGGCAGUAUCGCUAGAAUAGAAUAGGAAGGCUUAAAUAUUGUGGUUGAUAGAUAUACCAAUCGUUAUAUUGGGUACUAAAAUCUUGGUGGAAGCAGAAUAGUGUUUUGAGUGGAUCUAAGGAAUAGUGUCCUGUGGCCUAAGUUAACUUUUUUUAGCUCUGGAUAGGCUUGAAUAUGAGAGUGGUGUAUAGCUAGACUCUGGCUCUCUUGGUAAUGAGUCUCCGGGGAAUUGUAAGUUGUAUUAGACUUGCCUUCUAGCAUGAGUUCUAUUUAUUCGGUAUUCCAUGUGUUUGUAUUGAGGUAAGGUGUAAGUAAUCCUCCAUUGGUUGUUUUAUUUGGGUGGUAUUGGCAUCUCGGAAUCUUUCUCCUAUAAGGAGUUCUUGGUGAGGAUCAUGGGUUGGCAAGUUCGCCGGUUGCGAACGAGAAGGUAUGGCUUCGGUGAAGGUUCUAUGAUGGAACCAAAAGUUUGAAGAAGCCAUUUGGGAUGCGGAAGAGGACAUGGAGUUCAAGUAUCUAUGUUGGUUCUCCAUUUUGAAAAUUUGUGCAUAAGGUAUGUGUUCUUCAUCACAUCUUUAUUUUCUAAUUCGGUUAAAGAAAGGGUUGGAUUUCCUUUAAUCAUUGUUUUUAACUUAGUUAUAGGUCGGGAUGGAAGUAUUCAGGAGUAAAUCGUGCUUAGGAUAUGUGAUGAUCUUUUCAUCUUGUUUUAUGUCUUUGUUUUCUAAUUAGGUCGAAGGGAAGCUUGAUGGGUAUUAAUGUAUUAACUUGUACUUGUGCUUUUUUUUACCCGUCAUUCGAGGAUGAAUGAUCCUACGUGGGGGAGAAUAAAAUACCCUAAACUUUGGCCCUUGUAAAAUUUCUUGAGUUUUGGGCAUUCCGGGUAAGGUAGGAUUCAUGGGUACUAGUUGUAUGCUAAGAUAUGGUUUAGUACUCCCUCUCUCAUAUGUUAGACAGUAUGUAUGGGUUGGUUUCUACCCUAGGUAUGACUAGGCAUCAUACAAAUUGUAUGAUAGUGUACGAGUGGUAUGUUUCCAAGUUGUAUGAUGUCUUAAGUAUGGUCUUGAUGAUUCUGACCAAAGUACAACUCCAAGGGUACCACUCGUAUGCUAUGAUAUGACUUGGCCAUGUAUGGUCGUAAGAUGAUUAGUAUGGGGGUCCAAGGAGUGGUUUAGGGUAUUAGUAAGGGUAUCACUCGUACCCUAAGGUACGGUUUAGAAGGGGUGAGUCGUACCCUCCUCUGUGUGUUUUUUAACUUUUAAGAUGAGGGCAUUCCAGACAUUUCCCACCCCAAAAACCUUAAUUCCCUACGUUAUAUAACCCUAGGUGGCCUCUCAUAACUCACUUUGGAAAGAUAAAACACUAUUAAAUCCUCUCUAAACUCUCUAUUAAAGAUUGGAGGCUAGGGUUUCUACAAGUGUCCAUCUAGAGGCUCAUGAGUUAAGUUUCUCUUCAUGAAUCUUCAUAAAUAAGGCAUGUUACUCCUCCUUCACUGGUAUUUACAACUAAAAGCAUGUUUUAUAAAUUAUUUUCAUGGAAUGAAUGUUGUAUAGUUUUGAGUUUGUGAAUAUAUAUUGGGGGUUUUGGUUAUAAAUGCUUGGUUAUGGUUUUUUCCAUAUUUAAUUAUGAAUUUACAUGUUUAAAUGGUAGUUUGGAUAUUUGGUUGCAUGGGACUGGUUAAUUGGAACUUAGUUUUGGCUUUGGAAACACUAUGCCUCCAAUGUGUUUGAAAAAAUGCCUAUGAGAAUGCUCUUACUAAAUUGUUGGACUUUCAUUGAACGAUUGCAUGGUAUAACUUGGUAAUAGAACCCUAAAUGGUCUAAAUGGUUUGGAAUGGUCAAAUCAUAAGGUCUUAGUGGUUAUGGUUGGUUUAAUUGAAAGCCUUGUAGGGUACAAGGGAAUCCCCCAAGCAAGCUAAGUACUGAACAUACUUGUGGGGUACAUGGGAAUCCCCAAAGCUAACUUAAUAAUAUAAUCUAUGGCUACAUGGGAAUCCCAUCUUCUCUAAAAGGUUGUCUUAGGACAUUGCUUGCAAGUUAUAGUCGGUAUGACGAUACCACUACUUAUAGCCUUAGUUAAUAAUAAAUGGAAUAGUUGUCUUGGUUAUGUGGUAAUGGUUUUAAUUGGGCAAUAAUGACGGGGUGUGAUAGCUAACCGUGAAGGUAUGAGUCCAAUGGACGGAUAUUGGAAACUCAUAUUUGUCGAUAUGAGGAUUGGUCAUGAUCACAUAUAGGGUACAUGGGAAUCCCCUAAGUUAUAAUUAUAUAUAUGUACGAUAGAGAGCGAAAGGUACUUGGGAAUCCCUUACUCCUAUGGUAUCUUCGGUUCGUGUGGCUACACAUAUCAGGGCCCGUUCAGGGGGUUACACUGGACCCAUAUAGCUCGUAGUUGUUUCUAGAAUGGUUAAGCUACACUUACCUAGGUUAAUGAUUUUAAAUACAUGGUAAGACCAGUUUUAUUUUCUGGCAUGGAUUUAUAUAUAUAUAUAUAUAGAUAGAUAGAUAGAGAGAGAGAGAGACCAUACUACUCUUCUUGCUCAUCGAUCGAAUUUGGGGACUGCCGAUGCUAGAUUGAAGUGGUAAGCUUCCAUGGUUCGAAAGGCAUCUAUUCAUGUCACAGAUUACUUUACUUACUUUGUCUUUUCAUAGACUUUGGUUUUUAGCUAUGAUCCGGGGCAUAUCCCGACUAGAUGCUCUUUGGUUUGGUUUGGUUUAGAGGCUUUGUAUAGAUAAUAGUGGACUUGGGUAUGGAAUGAUUAUGAUAUAUAUAUACAUAUUGUGUUAUGGUAUUGGUUUGGUUGGUUAGUUAUUGGAUGGAUCGACUUGGUCGGGUCGAUCUAGGAAGUAGACCUAUCCCAAAGUCCUUAUAUCUCUAAAUAUAUUAUCUUGUUAUAGGUUUGGAAUUCAUCUGAUUCAGGGCAUAUGUUGGUUGGUUGGAUUGGGUAUUGAGGGUGAUCUCUGGUCCCAGUUGGACUUGAGAUGCCCAUUAUGACAAGGCCCCAGAUCAGAUCGUGUCAUUAACAUGGAAAAAAGGCAAUAGUCUAUACCCCGACCUAUCAUAGCCAUCAAGUGCCACUAUUCAUCAAUACUACCUUAAAAGGCAUCCUAAAGCACAUAACGAGCCUAUGAAAGUUCCCCAAUAGCUAAUCCAAUCUUUACUUAUGGUGAGUUGAAGUACCCACUUCUAAUCCCCAAUUCUCGUUUCAAGGCAAUUUCUAUCCCAAGACUAGGUUAAGGUAUAUAAAUUCACUUUUAGAUGUAUAACAAGACACAACUAGCCCUAAGGUAGAGGUUAUUCCCAAUUAUAAUCGCUAAGUUAAAGUGGAAACUAAGGCAACCUCAUCUAAUGUGAGGACUAAGGCCAAAAUCUCCUCAAACACGAGCAACUAUGUCAAAUAUGCCUACUUUGAGUAAUCUAAGGUCUCAUGCUAAAUAUGAGGACUGAAGACUAAUUUAACUAAGGCACAAGGCAACAAGCUAAGUGUUUCAAUAUUAUGGGAUCACAAUAGCCAAGGAGGAUCAAUUAACCCCAAGUUUUGUAUUUCAACAACCAACACCUAAAACCCAUCCCGAAUCUAACACAAUAUCAUAAACAUACUGUGAAUUAGCUCAAUAUAUUAAGGGUUAAACCUAGCCUACCUCGACACCCAAGAAAGCUUAGCGAUUCUGCUCUUCCUUUUCGAGAAGCCUCUUUAAGAUGCCAAGCUAUCAAAAAUACAUUCUAUUUAUCAAUAUGAGAAUAACAAUACCCAUAUUGCACCAUUGUGCUUCGGGUCCAAAAAUUACAUCAAAAUCCUAUGUGGGUCCUACUUACUAAAAUCACAUUUUUGAGACCAGCACAACAUUCAUACAUGCUCAAGGAAUCAUAACCCUUAAAAAUGGAUGAAACCCAAGCUAAAAUGGGGCUAAAAUCAAGCCUUAAAACUUUUGGGGUUUUGGUCAAGAAAUCAUUAAAAAUCUACCAAGAAAGGGUGAAAUCUUACCUCAAGUAGAAAGAUAAUCGCGAAAAUUGAUAUUACUCAAGCUUCUACGUCAUCCCAAGACUCAAUUUUAAGAUACCACACCCUUUAGGAUUUUUUCUCUAAAGAGAUGGGUAAAAAAUGAGCAAAUUUGCGACAUUGGGGUCUAUUUAUACCUCAAAUAUUGCAAUUGCAACAUGCAGGUAUGCAAUCACACUAUAUGGCAUCAGGAGCAGAUGUUGCAAUCGCAAUAACCCUUAGUGCGUUCACACUAUAUCCUCUGCACACUGAGAUGCGAUCACCAUCCAAGGUGGUGCGAUUGCGGCAGCAUCAGCUUGCUGAUGCACUAGAUUUUGCAAGUCCAAAAAUGAUCUUGACCGGGGGCUCGAAAUUUAUUUGAAAUCCCAUACAUGUAAAUGAACUAUGUAACCACACUAAAUUCAACGCUCCGGAUGUGAUGGAAAAGUCAAAUUUUUUAUCUGAGGUUAUUUCGAUUAAAUAUGGGUGUCACACCUAUAUUUCUCAUUUCUCCAACUUUCGACCAAUAGGUCAAAAUAAACUCGGGUGCCUCAAGACCCGAACCAAAGGUCCACCUAGAUCAAAAUUGACAUUCUGUAGUUGUUGCCGCAGUUGAAAUUCGCAUACGAGAUUGUUUUACUGAAGUUCUCACCCGAUGGUCAUUUGGUACCUACGAAGACUUCUAAACAGAAAAUUGGCUCUAAAACCUAACGAACUAUCUAGUAAUCGAACUGUCGGCUGCAGCAAGUCACAAAUGACUUGGGAAAGCUAUGUAAAGGCUCUAACGACAAAAAUAAGUGGGGAUAUGAAAAAUGACCUGAAGGGUCAUUGCACACAAGUUGACACUAAUACAUUGUGUCUUGAUUUACAAGGAGCUUUAUAAGUUUUGCCUCUAAAAUAAGACUUAGCCCAAGAGCCUCCAAAAAAAUAAGUUACUCCCCAUGGGUAAGAGUUAACACUACUUCAUUAUGUCUUAAUUUAUGAUAUAUACUAUAAUUCUUGACUUAGAGGCAAGACUUAGCUUAAGAAUUUCUAACAAAAAGUUAUGCCCCGCGAGCAUGACUUGACACUACUAUAUUGUGCCUUGAUUUAUUGUAUGUUCUUUAACUAUUGUCUCAGAGGCAAGAUUUAUCCUAGGACUUUCAAACAAUAAGUCAUGCCCUUAGGUUUAUUUCAUUGUUAAAGAAAGAAAAUCUUCUUUGUUGAUUAUCCAACUUUCUUUUCAUCAGCAAAACAUAAUAGAACUUGAGAAAAAAUAAAAACGAAGAAGGAAAAAAAGAGAGAAAAGAAAAAAUAUAAGGAUUGAGAAAAAAAAAAGAAUAAAAAAAUAAAGGUUAAGAAAAAAAUUGAAAGAGUAAAAAAUAAAAUUUGAGAAAAACAAAAAUGAGAAGAAAAAUAAAAAUAUAGUUUGAGAAAAAUAAAUAAAAAAGAAGAAAAAAUGAGAAAAAAAUAAAGGUUGAGACAAAUGAUAUUUUUAAAAAAAAUGCAGAAAUGAAAAAUAAAAUGUUUGAGAAAAAAAGAAGAAAGAGAAGGAGAAAAUUAAAAAUAAAAAAAAAGGCUUAAACAAAUGAAUUAAACAACCAAAACAAGAAAAAAUAAAAAUCAAGGAACAAUGAAAAAAAGAAAAAAUAGAAGUUGAGAGACAAAUGAACAUACAAAAUAUAAAAAUAUUUGAGAUGUAAAGGACCAAAAAGAUAAUUAUUCUACACAUAAAAAGGAAGAAAGGCUAGUAUUUAAAAACCUUUCUUCUGUAGGACAAAAGGCAAAUGCACACUUUUAAGGCAAAUGCACACUUUUUUACAAUUAAUACACCCUUAAAAGUUUUACCAAAAUUGUAAAUUUGUAAGUAUUUUGUAAAAAAAAGGAGGGACGAUAAAUACGGAGCGAGGAAGUUUGAAAUUUUAUUUUGAGAAGAUAUUUUGAAAUUAAGGAAAAUAUGGGAUAGUGAAAAAAUUUAAUAAAAGUAAUUAACUUAUGGCUUGUGGUUGAUUUUGAUUUAUAAACACUUUAGUUAAUUAUCAAAAAAAACUACUUACAAAUUAAAUUUGAUCAACUCAUAAACUUAGCCAAAUAUCUUCUUAUACGUCAAUUAUGAUAUAGACCUCUUGGUUUCUCAUUUAAACUUGGCCAGAUCCAUAAUUGGCCCCUUAAAGAGAGUUGGUAUCGCCUUUUCAUUUUUAUGAUCCAAAGUAUAGACCACUUCGUUUCUCAUUGAUAUCAUUUUAGGCUUCUGCUGAUUAGACAUUCUGAUGAGUCAAUGUAGGAAAAACUACAUUGUUAAGCAAACAUUCCUAAUAUAACAAUUCAACCAGACGACAUUUAAGGAAAAAUUGACAAGUAGCAAAUUUAAGUUUAUAAUACAUAUUUGAUAGUAAUUUUUUUUAGGGAAUCUUUCAAAAAUAGCUAUAUUUUACUGAAAAAUUCACCUUUCAUAGCCAUAUUUUACAUAAUUACCAUUUAUAACCGUUGUAUUUAAUUUACGCUCGCUGUAUUCGAUUUUAUCAAUAGUCUGUAUUCAUAUAAAAUAUAAAUACAGUACUAUUUAGCUGUUGUAUUCGAUUGACAGCCGUUGUAUUCACUUUUACUCAGUGGACUGUAUUCAUAAAUACACUACAUAUUUAGUCUUGCCUAAAACACUACCAUUUUUUUCUUUUUUAUUUUUUUAAUAUUUUUUCUUAUUCGUAUUUUCCUCGUUUUUUCUUCUUCUUUUAUCUAAUUUUUCCUAUUUUAUUUUUUCUUUUUUUUUAUAUAUUUUUUCUCUCUUCUAUCCCUCUUUUUUUUUCUUUUUCUUUUCUUUUUUGUACUUAUUUUCUUUAUUAUUUUUUUGUUCUAUUUUAUAUUUUUUGUAUUUUUAAAAAAUAUAACUACUCGAGCACAAAUCAUUGAUAAUAACGUAAAUACCAUAAUUGUUUAUCUAUUUGUAGUCACGCGUCAUUUAUAUUUUUGUAUUCAUUGAUGCAACUGUAUUUGUAUUUGUAUUUUAAAGUUUGUGGUUGUAUUUGUAUUUUGUAUUGUGUAUUUCGCAUUUAUAUUUGUAUUUUAUAAUUCGCACUUGUAUUUGUAUUUGUUAGUUCGCACUCUAUUUGUAGUCACGCGUCAUUUAUAUUUUUGUAUUCAUUGAUGCAACUGUAUUUGUAUUUGUAUUUUAAAGUUUGUGGUUGUAUUUGUAUUUUGUAUUUCGCGUUUAUAUUUGUAUUUUAUAGUUCGCACUUGUAUUUGUAUUUGUUAGUUCGCACUAUCAUUUUUAUUUUAUAUAAUCCACACUUGUAUUUUAAAGAAUUAUUUUAUAUUUGUAUUUUAUAAUUGACUGUAUAUUAUAUUGGAUUAUAUUUGUAUUAUGAUUUUAUUGUGUUUGUAUAUUUAGAUUAUAUUUGUAUUCUAUUUUCGUCGAUGUCUUUUUAUCUUUAAAGAAUUAUUUUAUAUUUGUAUUUGUAAGUUGAUUGUAUAUUGUAUUUAGCCGUGAUUAUGUACAAUUUAUCAUUUGUAUUUGUAUACAAAUGAGUAAAUGCAUUGUAUUUUCUUGAUUCUAAAAUAUAUAAAUAUGCAAUGUAUCAUUUGAUACAAAUGUAACAUUUUGUAUUUGUAUGUCAAAAUUAUUAUUCGUAUUUGUUAAUAAAUAAAUAUCACUUGAUACAAAUACAAUUACAAACAAAUGAAAUCAAUGAUUUUAAAAAUACAAAUACAUAUUGUAUUUAUAUAUAUUGUAUUUUUAUAAAAAAAUUGAAUUGCAUUUAUUUGUAUCAAUAAAUACAACUCGUAUAAAUAAAUACAAACAAGUAUUCGUAAAAAGAAAAUCAAUCUUUCCUUUUCAAUAAUUAAAAAAUACAAAUGAUAGAUUACACUUGUAUCUAUAUGUUAUAGUUCGCAUUUGUAUUUGUAUAUUAUAGUUUCCAUUUGUAUUAGUAUGUUAUAAUUCGUCUUUGUAUUUAUAUUUUAUAGUUCACACUUGUAUUUGUGUUUGCUAGUUCGCACAAAUGAAAAGAAGGAGAAAAAUAAAAACAAAAAAAGGAGAAAAAAUGUGAGAAAAAGAAGAAAAGAUACAAAAAAAGGAGAGUAAUAGAAAAUAGAGAAAAAAUAAAAAAUAAAAAGUAAAAAAAUAAAAAGGAAAAGAAAAAAAAGAAAAAAAAGAAGACAAAAUGAAAAAAGACAACGAAAAAGAAAAAAUUGAAAAAAGAAAGAAGAAAGAGAAAACAAAAAAGAAAAAAUGAAGGAAAAAGAAAAAAAAGUAAUAGAAAAUAGAUAAAAAAGGAGAAAAAAUAAAAAAAAAAAAUAACAAAAGAAAAAAAAGAAAAUGAAAAAGAAAAAAUUGAAACAUAGUUCACAGGUGUAUUUGUGUUUGUUAGUUUGCACAAAUGAAAAGAAGGAGAAAAAUAAAAAGAAAAAAUGUGAGAAAAGGGAGAAAAAAUACAAAAAGAGAAGGAGAGUAAUAGAAAAUAGAGAAAAAAUAAAAAAAGGAAAAAAAUAAAAGGAAAAGAAGAAAAGGAAAAAAAGAUAACAAAAAAGAAAAAAUUGAAAAAAGAAAAAAGAAAAGAGAAAGAGAAAACAAAAAAAGGAAAA